UUAAACGCGAAGCCAUCACUGGCCUAGCUUUAUAAUCCUUAUUACACCUGUGCACCUUAUUGUCUUCGGACAAUCUUUACAAACAACAGUGUAACGAAUGUAACAUAUUAUAAAAUAAUA
rnacentral:misc_RNA from 1 species